rnacentral:rRNA from 1 species
GACGAACGCUGGCGGCGUGCCUAAUACAUGCAAGUAGAACGCUGAAGGAGGAGCUUGCUUCUCUGGAUGAGUUGCGGACGGGUGAGUAACGCGUAGGUAACCUGCCUGGUAGCGGGGGAUAACUAUUGGAAACGAUAGCUAAUACCGCAUAAGAGUAGAUGUUGCAUGACAUUUGCUUAAAAGGUGCAAUUGCAUCACUACCAGAUGGACCUGCGUUGUAUUAGCUAGUUGGUGGGGUAACGGCUCACCAAGGCGACGAUACAUAGCCGACCUGAGAGGGUGAUCGGCCACACUGGGACUGAGACACGGCCCAGACUCCUACGGGAGGCAGCAGUAGGGAAUCUUCGGCAAUGGACGGAAGUCUGACCGAGCAACGCCGCGUGAGUGAAGAAGGUUUUCGGAUCGUAAAGCUCUGUUGUAAGAGAAGAACGAGUGUGAGAGUGGAAAGUUCACACUGUGACGGUAGCUUACCAGAAAGGGACGGCUAACUACGUG